rnacentral:rRNA from 1 species
ACUCCUACGGGAGGCAGCAGUGGGGAAUAUUGCACAAUGGGCGUAAGCCUGAUGCAGCAACGCCGCGUGAGGGACGACGGCCUUCGGGUUGUAAACCUCUUUUAGUAGGGAAGAAGCGAAAGUGACGGUACCUGCAGAAAAAGCACCGGCUAACUACGUGCCAGCAGCCGCGGUAAUACGUAGGGUGCAAGCGUUGUCCGGAAUUAUUGGGCGUAAAGAGCUCGUAGGCGGUUUGUCGCGUCUGCUGUGAAAUCCCGAGGCUCAACCUCGGGCCUGCAGUGGGUACGGGCAGACUAGAGUGCGGUAGGGGAGAUUGGAAUUCCUGGUGUAGCGGUGGAAUGCGCAGAUAUCAGGAGGAACACCGAUGGCGAAGGCAGAUCUCUGGGCCGUAACUGACGCUGAGGAGCGAAAGCGUGGGGAGCGAACAGGAUUAGAUACCCUGGUAGUCCACGCCGUAAACGUUGGGAACUAGAUGUGGGGACCAUUCCACGGUCUCCGUGUCGCAGCUAACGCAUUAAGUUCCCCGCCUGGGGAGUACGGCCGCAAGGCUAAAACUCAAAGGAAUUGACGGGGGCCCGCACAAGCGGCGGAGCAUGCGGAUUAAUUCGAUGCAACGCGAAGAACCUUACCAAGGCUUGACAUAUACCGGAAACGGCUGGAAACAGUCGCCCCGCAAGGUCGGUAUACAGGUGGUGCAUGGUUGUCGUCAGCUCGUGUCGUGAGAUGUUGGGUUAAGUCCCGCAACGAGCGCAACCCUCGUUCUAUGUUGCCAGCACGUAAUGGUGGGAACUCAUAGGAGACUGCCGGGGUCAACUCGGA